CGGCGCUCCUCCGCCGUCGCUGCUGCACGCAACCACAUCAGCCACCGAGCUCGACUGCCGGCGACCAAGACCACCGGUCUUCCUCCAUCGGUAACGCUCUCCGCACCUUCGUCCUUCUUCCUCUCAUUCGUUUUUCCUUUUCUUUUUCUCAUUCGUUUUUCUUCCUUCUUACGUUAUUUCAUUUCUUGCCUCCUCCUCUUUCGAUUUUUGCACAACCGCCGCCUAGUCGUGCAACCACUCCUCCGCUGCCGCCGAGCAGUUCUUCCGCUGCCGGCCGCACCUCACACCGCCUGCCACCUUCGUCAUCCCUUGUUGGCGGAGAAUUCUCUUUAGGCGACUUUUGAAAGUGUUAAAGUGGCCUAUCAGUUUGUUUACAC